UAUAAAUAGUCAACCAUGGAGAUUUCUAAUUAUACAUUUACCAUAAACCAAAAUAAGAAAUUCAAAAAUCGAAAAUGAAGAAGCUUAUCUUCCUAAUUUUUAACAUAAUUAUGCUUUCCAUCGGCAAUUGCGGUGGCCCUUUAAUCUCUCGACUCUAUUUCAUUCAUGGCGGCCAACGAAUUUGGAUACCCAGCGUAUUACAAACUGUUGGUUGUCCAGUUAUUCUCAUCCCUUUAGCCAUUGCCUAUUUUCAACGCCGGAAAAUUCAAGGAUCCGAGGCUAAAAUCGUCUUUAUCACACGGCAAGAGUUCAUCGCAUCUGCCGGAGUCGGAAUCAUCGUCGGACUCGAUGGUUACUUAAACUCGUGGGGACCAGCGAAAUUACCCGUUUCAACUUCGACUCUAAUCAACGCGACUCAGCUUGCGUUCACUGCGCUUUUUGCUGUGCUUAUAGUCAAACAGAAAUUGACUGCGUAUUCGACGAAUUCAGUCGUUUUGCUUAUCGCCGGAGCUGCGACUUUAGCCCUCCGAGCGAACGGUGACCGUCCGGCCGGCGAGUCGGCGAAGGAUUAUAUGUUGGGGUUUGUGAUGACGUUUGUUGGUGCGGUGUUAUAUGGAUUGAUGUUGCCGUUAAUUGAGUUGAUCUAUAUGAAGUCGAAGCAAGCUGUUACUUACAUUACUGUACUGGAGAUUCAGAUGGUUCUGGGAAUUUCUGCUACUGUUUUUUGCACUAUUGGAAUGAUUAUCAAUAAGGAUUUCCAGGCGAUUCCAAGGGAAGCAAGUCAAUAUACAAUUGGAGAAUCUAAAUAUUAUAUGGUACUCGUAUUGUGCGCUAUUAUUUGGCAAUUCGCGCUCAUGGGUUUGGUUGGAGUUAUUUUUUAUUCUUCGUCUUUGCUCUCUGGAAUUAUAGGCGCUUUUUUACUUCCUGUUACUGAAGUUUUGGCUGUAAUUCUGUUUCACGAAAAAUUUCAAGCGGAAAAAGGAGUUGCUAUUUUUCUAGCUUUAUGGGGAUUCGUUUCAUAUUUUUAUGGUGAAUAUGAACAAGGGAAGAAGGAGAAGAAAAUGAAGUUGAAGAAAAAUGAGAGUCAAAUAUCUCAACAAUUAGACAUGGGCCAAACAGGCGCAGGACAUGCUGUGUAGUAAAUUUAAUGUGAUGGCCAAAUAUUUUAUUUUAUUGUACUUGUAUGAAAAUUAAUUAAUUUAUUAGGUGCAAAAAAAAAACAGAUGCAAAUAGUAUCUGUUUUUUUAUUUAAAAGAUGUGAUUCAAGAAUUGAUUGGUUACCCCACAACUACUCAAUAGUCAAUACACAGACCCUGAUUAAUAAGACAUUUUCUCCCUUCUAGUUGUGUUGAUCUAUUAUGAAAGAGUGAAAUUUAUCCUCA